rnacentral:lncRNA from 1 species
UUAAUAGAAGAAAAUAACUGAUAGAGAAGCAAAAAUAAAGUUGCAUCUGGGGCUGAAGAGAUGGCUCAGCAGUUCAGAGCAGUGGCUGCUCUUCCAGAAGACCCAGGUUCAAUUCCCAGCACCCACACGGUGACUCACAGCAUCUGUAUCUCCAGGGAUUUGACUCUCUUCUGGCCUGCUGGGCGCCAGGCGCAGAUGCCGUUCACUGAUACUUGUGCAGACAAAACACCCACACACCUGUACACAUGAAAAAAAUCCUAAAAGAGAAAAAGUCGAACCUAUGAAGUCCUAAUCACGGACAGGGCCACGCAGAUCAGGUGUGGUGACACUCCCUGUACUGCACAGCCUGAUGCAGGAGGAUCAGAAGUUCAAAGUCAUUCUCUACCACAUAUCUCGACUUACAGACAACAAAACUCCACAUCUG